UACAGAGGGUGCAAGCGUUAAUCGGAAUUACUGGGCGUAAAGCGCACGCAGGCGGUCUGUCAAGUCGGAUGUGAAAUCCCCGGGCUCAACCUGGGAACUGCAUUCGAAACUGGCAGGCUAGAGUCUUGUAGAGGGGGGUAGAAUUCCAGGUGUAGCGGUGAAAUGCGUAGAGAUCUGGAGGAAUACCGGUGGCGAAGGCGGCCCCCUGGACAAAGACUGACGCUCAGGUGCGAAAGCGUGGGGAGCAAACAGG
rnacentral:rRNA from 1 species